CAGUAGCCGCGGUAAUACGUAGGGUGCAAGCGUUAAUCGGAAUUACUGGGCGUAAAGCGUGCGCAGGCGGUUAUAUAAGACAGAUGUGAAAUCCCCGGGCUCAACCUGGGAACUGCAUUUGUGACUGUAUAGCUAGAGUACGGCAGAGGGGGAUGGAAUUCCGCGUGUAGCAGUGAAAUGCGUAGAUAUGCGGAGGAACACCGAUGGCGAAGGCAAUCCCCUGGGCCUGUACUGACGCUCAUGCACGAAAGCGUGGGGAGCAAACAGGAUUAGAGACCCCUGUAGUCCCUGUCUCUUGUAC
rnacentral:rRNA from 1 species